GUACUGUGGACAGCGGGAUGAGGAUCAUUAUCUCAGUCAUGGUCUUGUACUGCUUUGGGAGCUGCUGGGCCUCUUCAAACAAAACUGUCCAUUCUGGUUUAUUGGGAAGCACGAUUGUUAUGGACUGUGAAGGUGUAAAAAACACUGGUACUGAAGAAAUCAAGUGGACCUUCGUGAAAGACAUGCCCGCUAAACAUUCUAUGCUGUAUCGAAGAGACAAACAAGGGCUUGUCUAUAGAAAAGAUGACCCCAAAAUGAUAAUUGCAAAAAAUAUGUCAUUGGUUAUCAAUGACUUUAAUAAAGACAAUGAAGGGCUUUAUCUCUGUGAGGUAUGCCAAGGCAUAUCGUCAUGCACCGUUACCACAUCUGAAUGUAUUUUAGAAAAAAAGACUCUUCCGUCAAAGUUGGUUUAUGUUGUUAGAGGUGGCGUCUACAGACAUGAAUGCCCACAUGCAACGGGGAACACUGCCUUUUGGAGCUUUCGACCACUGUCGGCGAACAUAGCGAAACCAUUUUCUCAAAAUUCUUCUCUUGUCUUAACCAACAUUCAAGACGACAUGGCAGGGAUUUUCACUUGUUGGAUAAGGACACGGGACAGACGAAAGUGGGCCUUUUCCUUAACACUUUGCAUCAUCUCCGAGGACACAACAAAUGCUCCUGACUUGAACACAAUCAGCACUUAUGCAGAGACCCCAGGUAAAAUAUGCACUUCAAACUAUACUUCAUACUUUUAGUCCUGGUGGGGACAUCCUAGAAUAAAAAAAAAUAAGUUAUAUGCUCA
rnacentral:lncRNA from 1 species